rnacentral:lncRNA from 1 species
AAUGAAAACUCAUAGAUAUCUUUAAACUAAUUGGAUACCUUAUAAAGAUUAUAGCAAAUGGGUGUGGUAUUUUUAUGUGGCAACAUAAGAAUUUUAGCCAUCAAACUAGCACUAUUCUACAGUAAUGUUGAAGGUGGAUGAAGUAUAUCGAAUGAGUUUAUGUUUUCCAGGUUGCACAGAAUACAAAAAGUGGAAGGCUGAAUAAAAAACAAGGACAGCUCCUGUUCAAGUGACCUCACUGCUUUCUGAUGACCCCCACUGGCUAUGCCACAUUUCUGGUGCUGAAUGGAUGCACAACACGUCCGUACUCAUCUGGGCUUCGAUGCAGUUGUUCAAUUUGAAAAGUAAAGCAGUACUUUAAUGGUCCCUUCAGUUCUCACACUCAGUGUUUCAAUAUUUGUCCUGUUCUACCUGGCUUGUAAUCAAUCCUAAAACUUCCUCACAUUUCCAGAUGAUGGAAUGAACAAUCCUGCGUAUGGCUUCCAAACUGAAAACUCAGAACUUAAGGCUCUGGUCUGAAGUGGCCACAGUUCAUCUCUGGCCUUGACAAGCCAUUUGUUGGCCGUGGAACUCAUUACUUGAAAGAGAUUUGCUACAGCUCCCGUUAUGGUGCCUUUAGAAGAAAUAAAGAUCUCCUGCCUCACUUCCAAUACUUC